rnacentral:rRNA from 1 species
GACGAACGCUGGCGGCGUGCCUAAUACAUGCAAGUUGAGCGCUGAAGGUUGGUACUUGUACCAACUGGAUGAGCAGCGAACGGGUGAGUAACGCAUGGGGAAUCUGCCUUUGAGCGGGGGACAACAUUUGGAAACGAAUGCUAAUACCGCAUAAAAACUUUAAACACAAGUUUUAAGUUUGAAAGAUGCAAUUGCAUCACUCAAAGAUGAUCCCGCGUUGUAUUAGCUAGUUGGUGAGGUAAAGGCUCACCAAGGCGAUGAUACAUAGCCGACCUGAGAGGGUGAUAGGCCACAGUGGGAAUGAGACACGGCCCAAACUCCUACGGGAGGCAGCAGUAGGGAAUCUUCGGCAAUGGACGAAAGUCUGACCGAGCAACGCCGCGUGAGUGAAGAAGGUUUUCGGAUCGUAAAACUCGGUUGGUAGAGAAGAACGUUGGUGAGAGUGGAAAGCUCAUCAAGUGACGGUAACUACCCAGAAAGGGACGGCUAACUACGUG